UACAGAGGGGGCAAGCGUUGUCCGGAAUCAUUGGGCGUAAAGAGCGUGUAGGCGGCCUGUUAAGUCUUGCGUGAAAUCUCGGGGCUCAACCCCGAGCGGUCGUGAGAAACUGGCAGGCUAGAGUGCGGGAGAGGAGAGUGGAAUUCCUGGUGUAGCGGUGAAAUGCGCAGAUAUCAGGAAGAACACCCGUGGCGAAGGCGGCUCUCUGGGACGGUACUGACGCUGAGGCGCGAAAGCGUGGGUAGCAAACAGG
rnacentral:rRNA from 1 species